AAAAUUGAUUCAAACGAAAUACUUACUUGAGACAUGUUUGACAAUGACAUCCACGAUGAAGGAUUAUCUAUGGUUAUUAUCUAUGGUCAAUGCUUCACCAAUUGACCGGUCAGAUUUUUACAAAAAAUUAAUUCUUAUUUGAGUGAGCGGUACAUCAAGAUUAUUAUUUAUUUAAUCGUUACAUCUUCGAAAAAUACACGUCUAAAGUACACCAUAUUCAAAUACAGGGUACAAUAGCACCAACUACACGAACAGUUCGACGUGCAACUUAACCCACUAUACUUUCUGCCGAAUCUUGCGAAGCGAGGAACACGAAGCGAAGCGAAGCACUACUUUAACUAGUACAAAUGUUAGAAAAUUGUUUCAAAUUGAGCCCCAUCAGCUCGUCCAUCAGUCAAGGUGAAGCCAGAAUAACCCCUCGAGGCUACUCGCAAACAGCGUGCACAUCAUUUCAACAUCACGCAGUGAUUAAAACCUGGAACCGACUACUUUGCUUUCAACUAAUAUAGAUGUAAGGCAACACUAACCGCUGCUGCCCGAGGACGACCUCUGCUGGGCGGCGCGCGCCGGCGUCAGGAAGUCGGCCUCGCGCCAGCCGUGCUUGCGGUACACCUCGCGCAGCUCCGCGUGGGACCACAUCGUCAUCAGCACUUGACCUGGAACAGCACGGGGACUUCAGCUCGGCCGGGACUUAUUGUACGCAUUUAAGUUUUUUUUUUAUGAUUGAAGGAUUACUGGUGGCCCAGAGGCCUUUCCAGUUUCACCAGGACAGGAGGGCAAGCAAAAGCCCAGUCAGACGCAUCUAAGUAUCACAUAAGUGGGGUACGGCAGGGAUGUGCGAAGAACACUGACGUCGAAUCUAAGUGAAGAGAAUCUGUAUUAAUAGGCAAAGACAAAAUUGUUAAAUACCCACUCUCAACUCUGUUUAUCUUUUAAUUUUUUUUAAAGAAUAUAUACCUAAGUAUAGUGUGUCAGUUGUCGAAUUUCAGCAAUUCAGCAAUACUAAUAUAUAAUUAUUCGCUUCGUAUUUCAAAUAACUCGUGCGUUGAAAUAAUUUUCGCACCUCCCUAUUGAAUUUGUCUUUGGUUCUUGAUAAUCAUCCCUUGUCGUAUAAACGGUGCUUUUAGGUACCUGAACCCGUCGCUUACGACGAAGGGCUCGGCGAGUAAAUUAACACAGCCCACUGAGUUUCUCGCCGGAUCUUCUCAGUGGGUCGCGUUUCCGAUCCAGUGGUAAUUUGGUACCCAGCUGAGAUUCGAACACCGGUGCAUCGCUCAACACUAAUGCACCGGACGUCUUAUCCGUUAGGCCACGACGACUUAGGUCGUGGUCGACCACGACAAGAGGUCCUACCACCAGUAAUGCGUUUACGGAGAGUCGUAUAAGUUUUGGCUGGUGACCUGCGAACUUGAGGACCCUGGGCGUGUGCCGGUGCCGCUGCUUGGUGAGGUUGAGGAGCCGCUCCACGCCGCCCGCCUCCAGCAGCGACCGCGAGAACUCGCCGCUCUUCUUUAUCACUUCGUUGAGGGUCGCCAGCACGGCGGCUAUGGUGUCGUCCGAAGUACCCUGGAUUCGUGAAAUUAAACUUUAAUUAGACGAUCUUUACAUUGACGUUUGUGUGAGAAAUGUGUAGAACACUAGAGUGAUUUUUUUAUUUCCGUACCAUUAAGGACACUAUGUGUUAUGUUUUGAAUUUCAAUAUAUUCAUAAACGACCAAUAAAAAAAUGAUUAGUUUUUAAGAGACUUAAACUAAAAAAAACCUGCUCUAGUAACAAGCCAAACUAAAUACAUAUAUAAUUAAUUAUC